AAAUUUUAUUUAGAAAUAUGUUUGUGCGAAGAAAUCAUAGUGCAUAGUUAUUUUAUUCAGACUGUGUUUUUUAGUUAUAAAAUGUGCUAUCGAAUAAGUUUAUAUUUACCAUUUUUGGUGCAGCCAUGACGCGCAGCCCUGAUAUUCUGUUUAUGGCAGAAUAUAUUAAAAAUGUGUUAUAUUUUGCAACAGUGCGACAAGGGAAGACCCUCAAAAGUACUGCAGAUACACAUUAUUUUUGUAUAGACAACGAUUUAAUAUACGAGAACUAUUAUUCCGAUUUUGGGCCACUAAACUUGGGUUGCGUUUAUAAAUACUGUAGGAUAUUGAAUGAAAAAUUAAAGCAGCAUUUGAAUAAGCAAGCAAUAGUUCAUUACACAUCGAUAGAUCCGAAGAAAAAGGCGAACGCAGCUUUCGUAUUAGGAUGUUAUGGUGUUUUGUAUUUAAGUUUAUCACCAAGAGACGCACUGAAGCCUCUUCUGGUUCAUGGGCAGAGUUAUCGACCUUUUCAAGAUGCAACACAAGGUGAUUCUGCAUACACAAUAUCUCUGAUCGAUUGUCUCAACGCUAUAAAAAAGGCAAGAGAUUUGGGUUUCUUCAAUUUCCAAGAUUUCAACUACGAAGAAUAUGAUAGACUUGACAAAAUACAGGGUGGCGAUUUGAAUUGGAUUGUUCCUGCAAAGUUUCUGGCUUUUAUUGGGCCAGUGGAUUGCAGCGUAUCUUUAUACCAUCCGCCAGAAAUGUACAUAGACUAUUUUCUGGAAAACGAUGUAAAAAUUGUUAUUAGAUUAAACAAAAGGCUUUACGAUGGUAAUGUAUUUAAUAACGCCGGCAUAACUCACUACGACUUAUUUUUCCCCGACGGGUCAUGUCCACCUCGAAAUAUUCUCUUCAAAUUUCUGCAAAUCAGCGAAGAAUCCGAUUGCGCUAUUGCAGUUCAUUGCAAGGCAGGUCUAGGGCGCACUGGCUCACUGAUCGGUUGCUAUCUGAUCAAGCACUACCGCAUGACCUCUCACGAAGCUAUAGGAUGGAUGAGAAUCUGCAGGCCUGGUUCUGUCAUUGGCCAUCAACAGGGUUGGCUGGAACAGUUAGAGCCGUGGUUGAUCAAGCAAGGAAAUGUUUAUAGAAAGCGCACGUAUCAAGACACGGAGAAGAUACCCACACACGAAUUCGGGGUGUACUCGAUCGCUGAGAAGGCUAUCAAGCAGCGGCCUGUGGUCUUCAGCAAGUCUCCGUCGCCCCCGCCUCCGAUGCAUCGGCAGACGCGGUCGGAUAUCACUCCUCCGAUUAGAGCGCAGGCUUCGAGAGUCAGAGAAGCUUUUAGUAAGGCGCCCGAAAAGGAAUCCAGUGAGUGGCGCGUGAGAACACCCAAGACUAACAUCAGUCAAAAGAUCAAUUACAAAAGUGAUCAAAACAGCAUCACGAGGCGUGGCAGUGGCAGCGGGGAACCCCGGCCGUCCUCGCCUCCUUCGCGGGGAAGCACCGCCAGGACGCAGCGGAAUAGCGCCAAAUCUAAUGACUCCACAGUGAGAAGUAUCGCCGGCUAUCAAACACCACUUCCAACAUUUCGAACCUCACAGGGUCCUGUUAUAAAAACGAUCAACGAUGCGAGGAAUUUCCUGAUGAGGAGCUCCAUGAACAGAGAUGACCGGGACAGGCAUCUGAACUCCUCCGUCACGGUCACCCCUCACUACUCUCGGGUGUCGCAGUACGGAGGGGAGCACUCCACUAUUGGGAAUAUGGCCCACAUUACGCCUUCCAGUUUCAGCACAGCGUCCCGAGGUUCAACACAACCACAGCAUCGCCGUCGCCUGGGUCGCAGCCCGAGCCCUCCACAACUCAGAAUGGUGACAGAGCAAACUCGAGCGACGAAUACUCCAUCUUGUGCUGGAAAGUUUUUGGCUAAAGAUGCUUCAAAAACUGCCUUAAAAGAAGUAUUAUCUAGACUUAAAUUGGUGACGGGUCGGGACGGCUCAAUCGGCGCAGCUUCGGUGGGUGCCGCAUCGCUGGGGGCGCGGCGGGACGCUCCUGCGCCGAAGCGAGCGCCUAGCGUCCGCUCCGACGAGCGCCCACUGGCCACUCAGGGAGACAUGCUAAAUAGCAUAAAGGUGGCUUAAACUAUUUAUAGUUGUUGAAAUUCCCGAAGGCGAGUGACCUUUACAUGUGUGGUAGCUCGCUCUGUUCGUUUUUCAAAAGUUUUGAAAGACAUUACACUAAUCGUUAUCUAUAUGUAGGCACGUUCACACUCGUGACACAACACAACACAAGUAAAGCUCACUCGCCUUCGUGAGUUGUGUAAGUUGGCGUAAUAUUCAACUUUGAGAACCCACCCAAAUAGCACCUGCACGGGUAGCACCUGGCCUAUUAUUCCACUUAGAGCACCUAUCGAUAUUUUGGGCAGGUACUUCUUACUAUCCAUCAUUCAGUUAGUCAAUGACAGUCUCACUCAGUUACAGUGAUUUGUAUAAUAUCGCAAAAUAAAUUAAUGGUUUGAAUGACGACUUUGCUUUAUUAUACGUUUUCAGUUCCAAAGAAGACUUCGUGACUCUUUACAUUCGGAGAAGCUUAGUGGUCUGGUUCAAGAAAAAAUCAGCAUGACUCCAAAAGAAAAAUCAAGCAUCAAAGAUGUUCACUCCAGAACUAGUACAGGGACCAGACCGAGUUUGCACCAUGACACCAGUGGACCCAAAGAGAGGACCAGUACUACGUCAAGAGGUUUCUUCGGGCCACCGCGACCAUCGUCGCCGAAAGGGCGUCGGAACUCUCAUGCAUCUUACUACUGAUUAAGUAGUUUUACGGUAGUAUGGUUGUAGGUAUUGUUGUGUCAAGCUUUUUGAUCACUAUGCAAAGUACCUUUUUGUUGAUUGAUAAAUUACAAGUGAUGUGUCCUUAUAUUGUGAUAAUGGAAUACAUACAAAUAAAGCAAGGCUGAUUAAAAAAAGGUUUUAUUUAAACAUAAUAUUGCCGUAAUUACAUAUUGGCGUUAGGCACUCUGCCUCCAUUUUUGCGUGCAGCGGAGUGGCUCCGGCGCGGCGCGGACCCGUAUUUGAAACCAGCGAGUAAGGCGCGCCCUUUAGGUGCAGGAAGAUCCAACCUGUUAACAUUAUUUUAUUUUUUUAAAAAUCCGGCGGGCGGAUUCCGGCGUUAAUCGAUUUGAAAAUCGAUAAUAUUUUGCGAGCCCUAUCAGACUGGCUAAAAAAGGCU